rnacentral:rRNA from 1 species
CGAAAGGUUGAUCUAGUUACUUAUUAGAAUGAUAAUGAUUAACAUUAAAAUUCUUAUAUAAUUAAAAUAAUGAUAUUAAUUAAGAAAUAUAAUUUCUAUUAAUUAAAAUAUAUAUAGAUUUCUCUUUAUACCCGUUCACGUUGUAUCAUUGAUACAAUCGUGAACGGGAUUUAGAUUAUAUAUAUAUAUUAAUAAUUAAUUAAAAAAGUUCUAACUAAUUUUUGUGCCAGCAGUUGCGGUAAUACAAAGAGAACAAGCGUUAAUCGUUAAUGGUUUAAAGGGUCCGUAGGAUGAUUAUUAUUUAAUAAUUAGAAUUAAUAAAAUAAUUAAAGAAUUAUAAUAGUAAAGAUGAAAUUUAAUUAUAAUUAUAAGACUGGUAAAAGUGAAAAUUUUAAUUAUAUAUUAAUUGACAUUGAGUGGACGAAGGCUAAAGUAGCUAAAUAGAUUCGAUACCUAUGUAGUUUUAGCUGUAAACAAUGAAUUCUAUUAAAUUUUUUUAUAUAAUAAAAAUUUAAAAAUAUAAAUAAUAAGAAUUCCACCAGAUGAAUACGUUCGCAAGGAUAAAAUUCAAGACAAUAGACGGUUACAGACUUCAGUAGUGGAGCAU